CGCUCAGGUCCAGGUGCUGCAGCUUCGUCAGCAGCACGAAGUUGUCCAAACCGUCGUAGGUGAGCUGAGAGCCGCUGAGGUCCACGGCCACCACGGGGACGUGGUGGAACUGCAGCACUUCGGGGCUCCAACGCCCGCGGGAGUCUGCACAGAGCCAGCGCUGCUGGCCUUCAAAUCUCACCCUCCCGCCGCAUGACAUGGCG
rnacentral:lncRNA from 1 species